rnacentral:ncRNA from 2 species
GUUUGAUAGUCUUUUAUUCUUAGUCCAAACCAACGUGCUUUGGGGAAGUCGGUGAAAGACCGACGCUGCCCCGCAGCUGUGACCGUGAACGAAAUCCGCUAAUAGCCACUGGAAGAAAUUCUUUCGGGAAGGCGCGGAGACUAGGUCGAAACGGAAGCCAGAAUACCCAAGCAUGAAGGUCACCGAAG